CUCUCCCGCCGGUCUGAUCGCUCAGGUCAAAGCUGCUUCUGCGCCUCCUCUGUGUGUUGUUGCUGGACGGCUGCUGAGUGCACAGGAGUGACAGGCUGACGGAGGGGGACCCCGCUUCCUGUAUCUGCUCUGAGCAGCUGUUUCAGACCCCGGGCGACCGAGCCCAGCGCUUUGGGGAACACUUGCCCUUUGCUGCAACGCCGACCUCCACGUUGAACUUUGGACACUAUUUUCUGGGAGGAGCUGCGUUUUGGAUGGACGGCCGGCGUGGAGGACGAUGGGAAGCGUGAACGUCCGGUCCCACAGCUCCCAUCGCGUGGAAUAAGAGAUGAAGUGAUGGAGCACGGAGGGACGGAGGAUGAGCAGUAAAACAGAGACAGAGCCGUACUAAUGAAAGAUAAUAAUCAAGAGCCUGAGACGAAAAACAAACCAAAUCAGACUCCAGCUGAGCUGAAGACAAUAUUUCACGUGAGCACAGCUGAAGAGGGUGAGUUGCUCUGAUGCUUCCACUCCUUUGAUGCCCAUGUGGUCCUUUUGGAGGUGUGUCAGAAGGAGUGAUGAGUAGAGGAAAGUGGAAGACGUGGGGCCCAGGUGAAGAGUUAAAUUAAGAAAAGAAGGCGCCGAGUUAAAGGGCAGGUGAAGAAGGAAUGCUUUGACUUGUGGGCCUCCCGGGGACCAUGACCUUAUUUCAAAUUCUGGGUGAGGGA
rnacentral:lncRNA from 1 species